UACGAAGGGGGCUAGCGUUGCUCGGAAUGACUGGGCGUAAAGGGCGCGUAGGCGGAUGGUACAGUCAGAUGUGAAAUUCCCGGGCUUAACCUGGGGGCUGCAUUUGAUACGUGUUGUCUAGAGUGAGGAAGAGGGUCGUGGAAUUCCCAGUGUAGAGGUGAAAUUCGUAGAUAUUGGGAAGAACACCGGUGGCGAAGGCGGCGACCUGGUCCUUUACUGACGCUGAGGCGCGAAAGCGUGGGGAGCAAACGGG
rnacentral:rRNA from 1 species